rnacentral:rRNA from 1 species
GAUGAACGCUGGCGGCGUGCCUAAUACAUGCAAGUCGAACGCUUUGUCUUUAAUUGAUAUGAAGAGCUUGCUCUGAUUUGCUUUUAUCUGACAAAGAGUGGCGAACGGGUGAGUAACACGUGGGUAACCUACCUCUUAGCAGGGGAUAACAUUUGGAAACAAGUGCUAAUACCGUAUAACACUAACAACCGCAUGGUUGUUAGUUGAAAGAUGGUUCUGCUAUCACUAAGAGAUGGACCCGCGGUGCAUUAGCUAGUUGGUAAGGUAAUGGCUUACCAAGGCGAUGAUGCGUAGCCGAGUUGAGAGACUGAUCGGCCACAAUGGGACUGAGACACGGCCCAUACUCCUACGGGAGGCAGCAGUAGGGAAUCUUCCACAAUGGGCGCAAGCCUGAUGGAGCAACGCCGCGUGUGUGAUGAAGGGUUUCGGCUCGUAAAACACUGUUAUAAGAGAAGAACGACAUUGAGAGUAACUGUUCAGUGUGUGACGGUAGCUUAUCAGAAAGGAACGGCUAAAUACGUG